GGGGAAUAUUGCGCAAUGGGGGGAACCCUGACGCAGCAACGCCGCGUGAGUGAAGAAGGUCUUCGGAUCGUAAAGCUCUGUCAUCGGGGACGAAGAAUGACGGUACCCGAAGAGGAAGCCCCGGCUAACUACGUGCCAGCAGCCGCGGUAAUACGUAGGGGGCGAGCGUUGUCCGGAAUUACUGGGCGUAAAGGGUGCGUAGGCGGCCUGAUAAGUCAGGUGUGAAAUACCAGGGCUCAACUCUGGGGGUGCACUUGAAACUGUCGGGCUUGAGUGCAGGAGAGGAAAGCGGAAUUCCUAGUGUAGCGGUGAAAUGCGUAGAUAUUAGGAGGAACACCAGUGGCGAAGGCGGCUUUCUGGACUGUAACUGACGCUGAGGCACGAAAGCGUGGGUAGCGAACA
rnacentral:rRNA from 2 species